rnacentral:rRNA from 2 species
UUAAGCGACUAAGCGUACACGGUGGAUGCCCUGGCAGUCAGAGGCGAUGAAGGACGUGCUAAUCUGCGAAAAGCGUCGGUAAGGUGAUAUGAACCGUUAUAGCCGGCGAUGUCCGAAUGGGGAAACCCAGUGUGAUUCGUCACACUAUCGUUAACUGAAUACAUAGGUUAACGAGGCGAACCGGGGGAACUGAAACAUCUAAGUACCCCGAGGAAAAGAAAUCAACCGAGAUUCCCCCAGUAGCGGCGAGCGAACGGGGAGCAGCCCAGAGUCUGAAUCAGCUUGUGUGUUAGUGGAACGGUCUGGAAAGUCCGACGGUACAGGGUGAUAGUCCCGUACACCAAAAUGCACAGGUUGUGAACUCGAAGAGUAGGGCGGGACACGUGGUAUCCUGUCUGAAUAUGGGGGGACCAUCCUCCAAGGCUAAAUACUCCUGACUGACCGAUAGUGAACCAGUACCGUGAGGGAAAGGCGAAAAGAACCCCGGCGAGGGGAGUGAAAAAGAACCUGAAACCGUGUACGUACAAGCAGUGGGAGCACCUUCGGGUGUGACUGCGUACCUUUUGUAUAAUGGGUCAGCGACUUAUAUUCUGUAGCAAGGUUAACCGUAUAGGGGAGCCGCAGGGAAACCGAGUCUUAACUGGGCGUUAAGUUGCAGGGUAUAGACCCGAAACCCGGUGAUCUAGCCAUGGGCAGGUUGAAGGUUGGGUAACACUAACUGGAGGACCGAACCGACUAAUGUUGAAAAAUUAGCGGAUGACUUGUGGCUGGGGGUGAAAGGCCAAUCAAACCGGGAGAUAGCUGGUUCUCCCCGAAAGCUAUUUAGGUAGCGCCUCGUGAACUCAUCUUCGGGGGUAGAGCACUGUUUCGGCUAGGGGGUCAUCCCGACUUACCAACCCGAUGCAAACUACGAAUACCGAAGAAUGUUAUCACGGGAGACACACGGCGGGUGCUAACGUCCGUCGUGAAGAGGGAAACAACCCAGACCGCCAGCUAAGGUCCCAAAGUCAUGGUUAAGUGGGAAACGAUGUGGGAAGGCACAGACAGCCAGGAUGUUGGCUUAGAAGCAGCCAUCAUUUAAAGAAAGCGUAAUAGCUCACUGGUCGAGUCGGCCUGCGCGGAAGAUGUAACGGGGCUAAACCAUGCACCGAAGCUGCGGCAGCGACACUAUGUGUUGUUGGGUAGGGGAGCGUUCUGUAAGCCUGCGAAGGUGUGCUGUGAGGCAUGCUGGAGGUAUCAGAAGUGCGAAUGCUGACAUAAGUAACGAUAAAGCGGGUGAAAAGCCCGCUCGCCGGAAGACCAAGGGUUCCUGUCCAACGUUAAUCGGGGCAGGGUGAGUCGACCCCUAAGGCGAGGCCGAAAGGCGUAGUCGAUGGGAAACAGGUUAAUAUUCCUGUACUUGGUGUUACUGCGAAGGGGGGACGGAGAAGGCUAUGUUAGCCGGGCGACGGUUGUCCCGGUUUAAGCAUGUAGGCUGGUUGUCCAGGCAAAUCCGGAUAAUCAAGGCUGAGGUGUGAUGACGAGGCACUACGGUGCUGAAGUAACAAAUGCCCUGCUUCCAGGAAAAGCCUCUAAGCAUCAGGUAACAUCAAAUCGUACCCCAAACCGACACAGGUGGUCAGGUAGAGAAUACCAAGGCGCUUGAGAGAACUCGGGUGAAGGAACUAGGCAAAAUGGUGCCGUAACUUCGGGAGAAGGCACGCUGGUGUGUAGGUGAAGCCCCUGCGGGUGGAGCUGAGACCAGUCGAAGAUACCAGCUGGCUGCAACUGUUUAUUAAAAACACAGCACUGUGCAAACACGAAAGUGGACGUAUACGGUGUGACGCCUGCCCGGUGCCGGAAGGUUAAUUGAUGGGGUUAUCCGUAAGGAGAAGCUCUUGAUCGAAGCCCCGGUAAACGGCGGCCGUAACUAUAACGGUCCUAAGGUAGCGAAAUUCCUUGUCGGGUAAGUUCCGACCUGCACGAAUGGCGUAAUGAUGGCCAGGCUGUCUCCACCCGAGACUCAGUGAAAUUGAACUCGCUGUGAAGAUGCAGUGUACCCGCGGCAAGACGGAAAGACCCCGUGAACCUUUACUAUAGCUUGACACUGAACAUUGAGCCUUGAUGUGUAGGAUAGGUGGGAGGCUUUGAAGCGUGGACGCCAGUCUGCGUGGAGCCAACCUUGAAAUACCACCCUUUAAUGUUUGAUGUUCUAACGUUGGCCCCUGACCGGGGUUGCGGACAGUGUCUGGUGGGUAGUUUGACUGGGGCGGUCUCCUCCCAAAGCGUAACGGAGGAGCACGAAGGUUAGCUAAUCCUGGUCGGACAUCAGGAGGUUAGUGCAAUGGCAUAAGCUAGCUUGACUGCGAGCGUGACGGCGCGAGCAGGUGCGAAAGCAGGUCAUAGUGAUCCGGUGGUUCUGAAUGGAAGGGCCAUCGCUCAACGGAUAAAAGGUACUCCGGGGAUAACAGGCUGAUACCGCCCAAGAGUUCAUAUCGACGGCGGUGUUUGGCACCUCGAUGUCGGCUCAUCACAUCCUGGGGCUGAAGUAGGUCCCAAGGGUAUGGCUGUUCGCCAUUUAAAGUGGUACGCGAGCUGGGUUUAGAACGUCGUGAGACAGUUCGGUCCCUAUCUGCCGUGGGCGCUGGAGAAUUGAGGGGGGCUGCUCCUAGUACGAGAGGACCGGAGUGGACGCAUCACUGGUGUUCGGGUUGUCAUGCCAAUGGCACUGCCCGGUAGCUAAAUGCGGAAGAGAUAAGUGCUGAAAGCAUCUAAGCACGAAACUUGCCCCGAGAUGAGUUCUCCCUGAGACUUUAAGUCUCCUGAAGGAACGUUAAAGACGAUGACGUUGAUAGGCCGGGUGUGUAAGCGCAGCGAUGCGUUGAGCUAACCGGUACUAAUGAACCGUGAGGCUUAACCUU